rnacentral:rRNA from 1 species
AUUGAACGCUGGCGGCAUGCUUUACACAUGCAAGUCGAACGGCAGCGGGGAGGAGCUUGCUUCUCUGCCGGCGAGUGGCGAACGGGUGAGUAAUACAUCGGAACGUGUCGAGAAGAGGGGGAUAACCACCCGAAAGGGUGGCUAAUACCGCAUAAAUUCUGAGGAAGAAAGCUGGGGACCUAGGAAUAGGCCUAGCGCUUUUUGAGCGGCCGAUGUCGGAUUAGCUAGUUGGUGAGGUAAAGGCUCACCAAGGCGAAGAUCUGUAGCGGGUCUGAGAGGAUGAUCCGCCACACUGGGACUGAGACACGGCCCAGACUCCGACGGGAGGCAGCAGUGGGGAAUUUUGGACAAUGGGGGCAACCCUGAUCCAGCCAUGCCGCGUGUAUGAAGAAGGCCUUAGGGUUGUAAAGUACUUUUGUUAGGGAAGAAAAGUCAGCUGUGAAUAAUGGCUGAUACUGACGGUACCUAAAGAAUAAGCACCGGCUAACUACGUG